UACGUAGGGUCCAAGCGUUAAUCGGAAUUACUGGGCGUAAAGCGUGCGCAGGCGGUUGUGUAAGCCAGAUGUGAAAUCCCCGGGCUUAACCUGGGAACUGCAUUUGUGACUGCAUGGCUAGAGUGCGGCAGAGGGGGAUGGAAUUCCGCGUGUAGCAGUGAAAUGCGUAGAUAUGCGGAGGAACACCGAUGGCGAAGGCAAUCCCCUGGGCCUGCACUGACGCUCAUGCACGAAAGCGUGGGGAGCAAACAGG
rnacentral:rRNA from 1 species